GAUGAACGCUGGCGGCGUGCCUAAUACAUGCAAGUCGAGCGAACAGAUGAGGAGCUUGCACCUCUGACGUUAGCGGCGGACGGGUGAGUAACACGUGGAUAACCUACCUAUAAGACUGGGAUAACUUCGGGAAACCGGAGCUAAUACCGGAUAAUAUAUUGAACCGCAUGGUUCAAUAGUGAAAGACGGUUUUGCUGUCACUUAUAGAUGGAUCCGCGCCGCAUUAGCUAGUUGGUAAGGUAACGGCUUACCAAGGCAACGAUGCGUAGCCGACCUGAGAGGGUGAUCGGCCACACUGGAACUGAGACACGGUCCAGACUCCUACGGGAGGCAGCAGUAGGGAAUCUUCCGCAAUGGGCGAAAGCCUGACGGAGCAACGCCGCGUGAGUGAUGAAGGUCUUCGGAUCGUAAAACUCUGUUAUUAGGGAAGAACAAAUGUGUAAGUAACUAUGCACGUCUUGACGGUACCUAAUCAGAAAGCCACGGCUAACUACGUG
rnacentral:rRNA from 1 species